GUGCCAGCCGCCGCGGUAAUACGAAGGGGACUAGCGUUGUUCGGAUUUACUGGGCGUAAAGCGCGCGUAGGCGGAUCACUAAGUCAGGGGUGAAAUCCCGAGGCUUAACCUCGGAACUGCCUUUGAUACUGGAGAUCUGGAGAUCGGGAGAGGUUGGUGGAAUUCCGAGUGUAGAGGUGAAAUUCGUAGAUAUUCGGAGGAACACCAGAAGCGAAGGCGGCCAACUGGCCCGAUACUGACGCUGAGGCGCGAAAGCGUGGGGAGCAAACAGGAUUAGAUACCCUAGUAGUCC
rnacentral:rRNA from 1 species